GGAUGCACAUGUAUAUGUGAGAUACAAUGUGGGAUCAUAGAAAAGGACCAAUCUCAGUCAGAAAGUCUUGAUUUGGGAUCAAGCUGCCCUGACAUUUGAUACUAACACAUAGCAGCUGUGUUACUUUGGAAAAAUCAAUUACCUUCUCAGCAUCUCAAAUGCUUGAAGCUUUUAAGUUACAAACAUACAAGUUUUAACAGGCUGAGAGAAAGAUAUAUUUGCCUCUUCACCUUCUGUGUGGGAAAUUACAUUGGCUAAGAUGUGUAUGCUUAAGUCAAAGGUGAGGAUAACUGGUGGAAACCCCACAUGCCUCUGUGAUGUUUGAAGAGAAAUAGAGAAAGAACCUUAGCAUCUUGGCUGGAUUGGCUGUCUUGAAUUUCUAGAAGAAUCUGGGUAAAAGUUGCACAGGAUGGGCAGUCAAAAUUAUUUGAGAAGAAGACUUGGAUUAAGAAAAGAUUUAUGGACCCAGUGAUGUCAGUGGAAAAAUAUCUCUUGGACAAUGAGGCUGAAGUCCUUUCUUUUAAA
rnacentral:lncRNA from 1 species